GAUGAACGCUGGCGGCGUGCCUAAUACAUGCAAGUCGAGCGAACAGAUGAGGAGCUUGCUCCUCUGACGUUAGCGGCGGACGGGUGAGUAACACGUGGAUAACCUACCUAUAAGACUGGGAUAACUUCGGGAAACCGGAGCUAAUACCUGAUAAUAUAUUCAACCGCAUGGUUCAAUAGUGAAAGACGGUUUUGCUGUCACUUAUAGAUUGAUCCGCGCCGCAUUAGCUAGUUGGUAAGGUAACGGCUUACCAAGGCAACGAUGCGUAGCCGACCUGAGAGGGUGAUCGGCAACACUGGAACUGAGACAAGGUCCAGACUCCUACGGGAGGCAGCAGUAGGGAAUCUUACGCAAUGGGAGAAAGCAUGACGGAGCAAAGCCGCGUGAGUGAUGAAGGUAUUCGGAUAGUAGAACUCUGUUAUUAGGGAAGAACAAAUGUGUAAGUAACUAUGCACGUCUUGACGGUACCUAAUCAGAAAGCCACGGCUAACUACGUG
rnacentral:rRNA from 1 species